rnacentral:rRNA from 1 species
GGUGGAUGAUGUGGAUUAAUUCGAUGCAACGCGAAAACCUUACCUACCCUUGACAUGUCUGGAAUCUUGGUGAGAGCCGAGGGUGCCUUCGGGAGCCAGAACACAGGUGCUGCAUGGCUGUCGUCAGCUCGUGUCGUGAGAUGUUGGGUUAAGUCCCGCAACGAGCGCAACCCUUGUCACUAGUUGCCAUCAUUUGGUUGGGCACUCUAGUGAGACUGCCGGUGACAAACCGGAGGAAGGUGGGAUGACGUCAAGUCCUCAUGGCCCUUAUGGGUAGGGCUUCACACGUCAUACAAUGGUCGGUACAAAGGGUUGCCAAGCCGUGAGGCGGAGCCAAUCUCAAAAAGCCAACCUCAGUUCGGAUUGCAGUCUGCAACUCGACUGCAUGAAGUUGGAAUCGCUAGUAAUCGCUGAUCAGCAGGCAGCGGUGAAUACGUUCCCGGGCCUU